CGGGAAGUAGCGCAGGGCGGUAGCGCACCUGGUUUGGGACCAGGGGGUCGCAGGUUCGAAUCCUGUCUUGCCGA
rnacentral:tRNA from 1 species